UACAGGGGGUGCAAACGUUGCUCGGAAUCAUUGGGCGUAAAGCGCACGUAGGCGGUUUGUUAUGUCGGAUGUGAAAGCCCUUGGCUCAACUGAGGAAGUGCAUCCGAAACUGGCAAGCUAGAGUACUAAAGAGGGUCGCGGAAUUCCCGGUGUAGAGGUGAAAUUCGUAGAUAUGGGGAGGAACACCGGUGGCGAAGGCGGCCACCUGGACGGUCACUGACGCUGAGACGCGAAAGCGUGGGUAGCAAACAGG
rnacentral:rRNA from 1 species